rnacentral:rRNA from 1 species
UACGUAGGGUGCGAGCGUUGUCCGGAAUUAUUGGGCAUAAAGGGCUCGUAGGCGGUCUGUCACGUCGGGAGUGAAAACACGGGGCUUAACCCCGUGCCUGCUUCCGAUACGGGCAGACUAGAGGUAUGCAGGGGAGAACGGAAUUCCUGGUGUAGCGGUGAAAUGCGCAGAUAUCAGGAGGAACACCGGUGGCGAAGGCGGUUCUCUGGGCAUUACCUGACGCUGAGGAGCGAAAGUGUGGGGAGCGAACAGG